UUUCCCCCCUUUUUCCGUCUUUCUAUGUGUUCUGUGUACUUUUCCAACUAUCCUGGGCAGGCAGACCAACUUCAAUCAACCUGUGAAUCUCCAAUGGUGGGAUAAGGAGGAAAAAAGUUGCAGUGAACCAAAUCCUUUUGGCCACGCAUCCACCCACUAGCUGUCAGGAGAGAGCCCCAACAUGGGGCUCGGAGCCAUCCAAUUACUGUCUGAGCAAGCUUACGCCACGAGGAUCCAGUCAGACAUCCAGACCCUCCCAGAGGGCUCUGCCAGGGCCGCCUGGUGACGGGUAGGGCAAAGCGGGUCAAACGCUGGGGUGGUUCCCCUCGUCCUCUGCUGCGCCUUAUUCUUAAUGGAUCUGACAAACAUGAACAGCUCACAGCCACAAGGUCUAGAAGUGGGGGAAGGAGCGGAGGGGGGGAGGAGGGGGAACAGGAGAGAAGAUGCAGCCGACGAAGGGCCCGGGAAUCAGAGGGCAAACGGCACAGAACAAAGACGGCGUGAGAGAGCGGUAAUGAAGAUGAUUAGGCGUCAAGCAUGUCCCCGCCCAGCGAAUUGGAGGAAUGGUAUACUGCAAAGGAAGAAGAUCAAAAGGUACUAGGCAAGAGAAAAUAGUCAAGUGAGAGAAGGUUACAGGUGGAAAACAGACCAUGGGAGUCAAUCAGAGGGAGUGAUGCAACGGUGGAGAGGGUCAGGAGCUGCAGGAGGACGUUUACACAAAUCCUCCUGGUCUUUAUCCCCAACAACACCACCACCACCACCACCUGUUUUGGAGGUUGUAGUUGUGGUGCUGUUCAACUGGAUUGAGUGAUUGAACACAAAAGUGUUUCUAUUAUUUAGCCUAGGUCACUAGGGCUGGGUAUACCAGUUCAACCCCAAUGCCGGUCAAUUUGUAGGUCUUUUUUGUUAUUUUAUGAAUUUUUAAUAUACCGGCAUACCGGUGUAUUUGAUUCCAUAGCGUUGGGAACGCUACACUGAACGCUACACCAUUUUCAAUGUAGAGCUUCUAAACAUGCACAGUCCAACUGCGUCACUGUGAGGUGUGGUGAAGAAGGAAAGUUCACAACAACAAAGUGGCAGAACCAGAGGACUUGAAAAAGGUGCAGUGUCGAACCGGUGUUUCUUUACAUGUUAACUGUUCGCGAUGAAUCCACUUUAUAUGAGUGAGCCGUGUGAAAACACCAGCUGUCGCAGCACAAAAGUGACAACGUUACAAUGUCGCUGCCUACUAAUACAGAGGGCCGGGAAGAUGACAUGAAAAAGCGGCCAAAGAUAACAUACAGUAGCAUUUUUAGCUACUUUCUUAACUCAAUGAACAAUUUGAGGUAUAUGAGUACAAUAAGGUUGGUCGCGUUUAUUAUUUUGAUUAAGAUUAAAAUGCUGCGCCAUUGAACGUUUUGUUGUAUCUGUGCUGAAAUGAUAACAUUUUUAGGUUAAUAUUGACCAGCAGUCCAAACGCACGUUACGUUUUAACUGUCCAGACAAAGGUAACAGUACAUGUUGUUUGCUGACAAAUACUACAGUGUCUUCCACAUGAAAUCAUAUUCGUUGAUGUUCUUUUGACACUUUAAAACAGUCAAACGUACAAAUAAACUGCUAUGGGAAACGAAACCCGCUACCAAUCAAUGGCUCACUGCUACUUUCAGUGUCUCACCAGAAGUCAAAUCCAUAAUCGCUGCUACAGUAUACCAGCGCCCCCAGGAAUAUAUGGAUAUGUCGGUAGAACACAAUACGGUUCAAUAGCACUGCAAACCACAGCCUUCUAAGUGAAAACACAGUUGUAUCAACAGCUCUGCAAGCAUGAUGUGAAAUAAAUACCAUAAGCUUCGUGAAACUAA